rnacentral:rRNA from 1 species
GAUGAACGCUGGCGGCGUGCCUAAUACAUGCAAGUCGAGCGAACAGACGAGGAGCUUGCUCCUUUGACGUUAGCGGCGGACGGGUGAGUAACACGUGGGUAACCUACCUAUAAGACUGGGAUAACUUCGGGAAACCGGAGCUAAUACUGGAUAAUAUUUCGAACCGCAUGGUUCGAUAGUGAAAGAUGGCUUUGCUAUCGCUUAUAGAUGGACCUGCGCCGUAUUAGCUAGUUGGUAAGGUAACGGCUUACCAAGGCAACGAUACGUAGCCGACCUGAGAGGGUGAUCCGCCACACUGGAACUGAGACACGGUCCAGACUCCUACGGGAGGCAGCAGUAGGGAAUCUUCCGCAAUGGGCGAAAGCCUGACGUAGCAACGCCGCGUGAGUGAUGAAGGUCUUCGGAUCGUAAAACUCUGUUAUUGGGGAAGAACAAACGUGUAAUUAACUGUGCACGUCUUGACGGUACCUAAUCAGAAAGCCACGGCUAACUACGUG